ensembl:snoRNA
AGGAUGUGAGGAGGAGCUCUCUGCCCUCUCCCCAACUCUGCUCUGAAG